rnacentral:rRNA from 1 species
AUUGAACGCUGGCGGCAGGCCUAACACAUGCAAGUCGAACGAGUGGCGGACGGGUGAGUAAUGUCUGGGGAACUGCCCGAUGGAGGGGGAUAACUACUGGAAACGGUAGCUAAUACCGCAUACCAUCGGAUGUGCCCCUAUGGGAUUAGCUAGUAGGUGGGGUAAAGGCUCACCUAGGCGACGAUCCCUAGCUGGUCUGGAUGGAUGACCAGCAACACUGGGACUGAGACACGGCCCAGACUCCUACGGGAGGCAGCAGUGGGGAAUAUUGCACAAUGGGCGCAAGCCUGAUGCAGCCAUGCCGCGUGUAUGAAGAAGGCCUUAGGGUUGUAAAGUACUUUCAGCGGGGAGGCGUUACCCGCAGAAGAAGCACCGGCUAACUCCGUGCCAGCAGCCGCGGUAAUAC